rnacentral:rRNA from 1 species
CCUACGGGAGGCAGCAGUCGGGAAUAUUGCGCAAUGGAGGAAACCCUGACGCAGUGACGCCGCGUGCAGGAAGAAGGUUUUCGGAUUGUAAACUUCUGUAGACAGGGAAGAAAAAAGAAAGUACAUGUAGAAUAAGCUCCGACUAACGACGUGCCAGCACCGGCGGGAAUACGUAGGGAGCAAGCGUUAUCCGGAUGUAUUGGGUGUAAAGGGUGCGUAGACGGAGAAGCAAGGUAGUUGUGAAAUCCCUCGGCUUAACUGCUGAACUGCAACUAAAACUACUUCCCUUGAGUACUGGAGAGGAAAGUGGAAUUCCUAGUGUAGCGGUGAAAUGCGUAGAUAUUAGGAGGAACACCAGUGGCGAAGGCGACUUUCUGGACAGUAACUGACGUUGAGGCACGAAAGUGUGGGGAGCAAACAGGAUUAGAUACCCGUGUAGUC